AGCGAACGCUGGCGGCAGGCUUAACACAUGCAAGUCGAGCGGGCACUUUCGGGUGUCAGCGGCGGACGGGUGCGUAACGCGUGGGAACGUGCCCUCUGGUUCGGAAUAACUCAGGGAAACUUGAGCUAAUACCGGAUACGCCCUUUUGGGGAAAGGCUUGCUGCCGGAGGAUCGGUCCGCGUCUGAUUAGCUAGUUGGUGAGGUAACGGCUCACCAAGGCGACGAUCAGUAGCUGGUCUGAGAGGAUGAUCAGCCACACUGGGACUGAGACACGGCCCAGACUCCUACGGGAGGCAGCAGUGGGGAAUAUUGGACAAUGGGCGCAAGCCUGAUCCAGCCAUGCCGCGUGAGUGAUGAAGGCCUUAGGGUUGUAAAGCUCUUUUAUCCGGGACGAUAAUGACGGUACCGGAGGAAUAAGCCCCGGCUAACUUCGUG
rnacentral:rRNA from 1 species